UUGGAAUGUAGAAAUUGCUGAUGUGAGAGAUGAUUCUUUUUGGUGGUUUUUUUUUUGGGUAAUAUCUCGGUGAGAAAUCAAGUGUACAAAAUUUUUUUUGGGUUAAAAUUUUUAUUUUCAUUUUAAGGAAUUUUCAACAUAUUUUUAUCACUGUGAUACUAUGUAGAAAUCUAAGUAAUGGGGCCUAAGAUUAUGGCAUUAGUCUUGAACGGCUGGUCUCUCACUUUAGGUUAAUUACUUUUGUUCUGAUAGAACAUAGUGUUUCCAAAAGCUAAACCGACCAAUUUGGUUAUAUUUAGUGUGCUAUUGCUACUGUUAUUCAUUUUUGUUAGGAGCUUGUGAUGGUAAGGAUCUCAUUUUUUUUCAACCACUACUCUCCUUCCCUCUCACUCUGUAUCUCAUUGUGUUGGUGUAUGUGCACUCAUCCUUGGAUGUACUGAAGUUUAGUUUAUACCGUAUAUAAUCAUAUGAAAUGCAUACAUGGGCAAUUGAAUGGCAUACUUGUGUUAAGGGCAUGAACAUGAAAUUCUG
rnacentral:misc_RNA from 1 species